GACGAACGCUGGCGGCGUGCUUAACACAUGCAAGUGGAGCGACGAACCAGGGCUUGCCCUGGGGCAGAGCCGCGAACGGGUGAGUAACACGUGGGUAACCUGCCCUGAUGAUUGGGACAACCCGAGGAAACUCGGGCUAAUACCAAAUGUGCUCUUCGACCCCAAGGUCGUUGAGGAAAGGUAGCUUCGGCUUCCGCAUCAGGAUGGGCCCGCGGCCCAUUAGCUUGUUGGUGAGGUAACGGCUCACCAAGGCUCCGAUGGGUAGCUGGUCUGAGAGGACGAUCAGCCACACUGGGACUGAGACACGGCCCAGACUCCUACGGGAGGCAGCAGUGGGGAAUCUUGCGCAAUGCGCGAAAGCGUGACGCAGCAACGCCGCGUGGAGGAAGACGGUCUUCGGAUUGUAAACUCCUUUCAGUUGGGACGAAGCUUCGGUGGUGAAUAGCCAUUCGGAGUGACGGUACCUUCAGAAGAAGCUCCGGCUAACUACGUGCCAGCCGCCGCGGUAAAAC
rnacentral:rRNA from 1 species